rnacentral:rRNA from 1 species
AUUGAACGCUGGCGGCGUGCCUAAUACAUGCAAGUAGAACGAGUUGCGAACGGGUGAGUAACGCGUGGUAACCUGCCUCAUAGCGGGGGAUAACUAUUGGAAACGAUAGCUAAUACCGCAUACUGUGAGAUGGACCUGCGUUGUAUUAGCCAGUUGGUGGGGUAAAGGCUCACCAAGCCGCCGAUACAUAGACGACUUGAGAGGGUGAUCGGCCACACUGGGACUGAGACACGGUCCAGACUCCUACGGGAGGCAGCAGUGGGGAAUAUUGCACAAUGGGCGCAAGCCUGAUGCAGCCAUGCCGCGUGUAUGAAGAAGGCCUUCGGGUUGUAAAGUACUUUCAGCGGGGAGGCGUUACCCGCAGAAGAAGCACCGGCUAACUCCGUGCCAGCAGCCGCGGUAAUUC